CGGCUCGUGAAUACUCAUCCAGAGUGACCUACCAUAACAAAUAACGUACCUAUUUAAUAUUUAAGCAGAUUAACAGUUUUUAUUACAGUCGUUUUGUUAAGUAACAAUUUGUUUGAUAAACGUACCUACUUUCAUUCGUAUAAACGCACCUACAGUAUUAUUGUUCACUGUAUAGGUAAAUCGAAAUAUCGUCAACCGCUACUAUCAAAAUAAGUACCAUCUGUUGUAGUAGGUACAUUGUGUCUACACAGUGAUCGAACCGAAUACAUACCUGUGUGUACCUAUACCUAUGCAGUGAGAUUUGUUAGUCCGUGGCGAUAAAGACACCACAUGCGUCGGGUAAAGUACUUGGUAGUUCCAGCGCGCCGAAUUUCGGUGUGCGUUUGGGUAGGUGGAUAUAAUACUUGCGUGAAUUACUUACUUACGAUUAUUAUUCGUAAGUCUUGUCGCUGUAUCGAAGUUCUUCACACACUAACAGAAAAUUACCGUAUCGUUGUGUUUGCACCUACUUAAUAAACAUUUAAAAUAAAAUGCCGCUUCUCGGAAAAUCUACCCGCAGGGGUACAUUAACAAAAUCUAAAUCAAGUGUACUCGAAUAUUCGUCUCAAGAUUUGCCAUCUUUACGUAGAAAACGAACUAUUUCUUAUAUGUCAUUUACACUCAGCCACUUCCCUUGCCACUCGCGUCGCCGCGAAUGUUGCCGCGGCAGUGUCAACGCGAGUGUGUCGUUUACAUUCAGCCCUCAUACUUCUUUGCCGGGCGACUCGCAAACAUGGCUGACGUCGAGGUUGUUGCGGCGACAGCUGUAUGUCUACUUAGUUUAUUGAAUUAUUUAAACGUUUUAAAAAGAAAUCAGAAAAAAAGACGCUAUCGCCAAAGAAGAUGGUGGAUGAAAAAAAUUCAUCUGAAUCGAACGACAAACAGCAUGAAUAUUUUUUUUAUGGAGUUGACUUCCGAAGAUGCUGCCGAGUUUUCUAACUUUUGCAGAAUGUCACCUUCUGAUUUUAAAUUCUUGUUACAUAAAAUUACAUUUAUGAUUGAAAAACAGCAAACGAGACUGCGAAUGCCCAUACCAGCAAAAAUACGUUUGGCAAUAACAUUACGAUAUUUAGCAACGGGGGAUAGUUACAAAAGUCUCCACUACUUAUUCAAGGUUUCUACACCAGCCAUUUCGUUAAUUAUUCCUGAAGUAUGCAAAGCUAUCAACUCUGUUCUCAAGGAUCAAAUUAAGUUACCACAAACACCAGCGGAAUGGUUAAUUAUAGAAGAAGGAUUUAGAAGGAAAUUUCCUCGAUGUGUCGGAGCUAUAGAUGGGAAGCAUAUUGUAAUUAAAUGUCCUCCACACAGUGGCUCACAAUAUUACAACUAUAAGCAUACAUAUAGCAUCGUACUAAUGGCUCUAGUUGACAGUGAAUACCGUUUUA